GCCGUGGUAGCUCAGCCUGGGAGCGGGUUCCCCAAGAGCAUCCGGCUGAAGACCGGAGUGUCGUCGGCUCAAAUCCGACCCACGGCA
rnacentral:tRNA from 1 species